rnacentral:rRNA from 1 species
UACGUAGGGCGCAAGCGUUGUCCGGAAUUAUUGGGCGUAAAGAGCUCGUAGGCGGUCUGUUGCGUCCGCUGUGAAAACCCAGGGCUUAACCCUGGGCUGGCAGUGGAUACGGGCAGACUAGAGGUAGGUAGGGGAGAAUGGAAUUCCCGGUGUAGCGGUGAAAUGCGCAGAUAUCGGGAGGAACACCGGUGGCGAAGGCGGUUCUCUGGGCCUUACCUGACGCUGAGGCGCGAAAGCCAGGGGAGCGAACGGG